rnacentral:misc_RNA from 1 species
GAAAAUCUUCAAAUAUAGUCACUAUAGCUUCUUUGUUCUGUAAGGUUUCUACAGUUCCAUCGCAAGUAAUAUAUUAGACCUACUCAACCCUACAACACAACCAUACAAUACACCCAANNNNNNNNUGUAUCUUUUUUUUCUUCUUCUUCUUUAGGGAUAGCAAACAAGAAUAUGUAUAGAAUGAAGCUAAAAAGAAAAAUCUUCUAUGUCAUCUUUAAGCUCCUCAAAUCAGCAAGUCAAAUCCCAAUUAUCUCAUAUAUAUGCCCUACUCCAGAAUUUCAUUCCUGAGACUUGGAGGAAAGACUUUCCAAUCUCUCGAUUGUUCUACACCCACACGG